rnacentral:lncRNA from 1 species
AGGAAAACUUGUCUUCUGUAAAGACUUUUGCAUAGGAAUUUGUUCGACCAUCUCUAAGCAUUACAUGUGCCUGUACUUGUCCACUGGAUUGAAGGCAGAGAAGGAAGGGAGGAGGGAAUGAUUCAAGGCCAAAAUGGCCACAUUUAGAAGAUACCUCAGAUGAUAACCAUUGUUAUGUGUGUGCAAUUUUAUUUAACAGUGAUGUGUAUGUGGUGG